ensembl:misc_RNA Metazoa_SRP Metazoan signal recognition particle RNA
GCUGGGUGUGGUGGCAGAUGCCUGUAAUCCCAGCUGCUUGGGAGGCUGAGGCAGGAGAAUUGCUUGAACCUGGGAGAUGGAGGUUGCAGUGAGCUGAGAUCCAGCCACUGCACUCUAGUCCAAGUGACAGAGCAAGACUCUGUCUCUU